UACAGAGGUCCCAAGCGUUGUUCGGAUUCACUGGGCGUAAAGGGCGCGUAGGUGGCUAGGUAAGUUUGAUGUGAAAGCUCUGGGCUCAACCCAGAAAUGGCAUUGAAUACUAUCUAGCUAGAGGAGUGGAGGGGGGACUGGAAUACUUGGUGUAGCAGUGAAAUGCGUAGAUAUCAAGUGGAACACCAGUGGCGAAGGCGAGUCCCUGGACACUUCCUGACACUGAGGCACGAAAGCUAGGGGAGCAAACAGG
rnacentral:rRNA from 1 species